rnacentral:rRNA from 1 species
UACGUAGGGUGCGAGCGUUGUCCGGAAUUAUUGGGCGUAAAGAGCUUGUAGGCGGUUUGUCGCGUCUGCCGUGAAAAUCCGGGGCUCAACCCCGGACUUGCGGUGGGUACGGGCAGACUAGAGUGUGGUAGGGGAGACUGGAAUUCCUGGUGUAGCGGUGAAAUGCGCAGAUAUCAGGAGGAACACCGAUGGGCGAAGGCAGGUCUCUGGGCCACUACUGACGCUGAGAAGCGAAAAGCUGGGGAGCGAACAGG